rnacentral:rRNA from 1 species
AGAGGUUGCUUCUGGCUCAGGAUGAACGCUGGCGGCGUGCCUAACACAUGCAAGUCGAGCGAAGCGCUUUACUUGAAUUCUUCGGAAGGAAAGUAUUGUGACUGAGCGGCGGACGGGUGAGUAACGCGUGGGUAACCUGCCUCAUACAGGGGGAUAACAGUUAGAAAUGACUGCUAAUACCGCAUAAGACCACAGCACCGCAUGGUGCGGGGGUAAAAACUCCGGUGGUAUGAGAUGGACCCGCGUCUGAUUAGCUAGUUGGUAAGGUAAGGGCUUACCAAGGCGACGAUCAGUAGCCGACCUGAGAGGGUGACCGGCCACAUUGGGACUGAGACACGGCCCAAACUCCUACGGGAGGCAGCAGUGGGGAAUAUUGCACAAUGGGGGAAACCCUGAUGCAGCGACGCCGCGUGAGUGAUGAAGUAUUUCGGUAUGUAAAGCUCUAUCAGCAGGGAAGAAAAUGACGGUACCUGACUAAGAAGCACCGGCUAAAUACGUGCCAGCAGCCGCGGUAAUACGUAUGGUGCAAGCGUUAUCCGGAUUUACUGGGUGUAAAGGGAGCGUAGACGGAGAGGCAAGUCUGAUGUGAAAACCCGGGGCUCAACCCCGGGACUGCAUUGGAAACUGUUUUUCUAGAGUGUCGGAGAGGCAAGUGGAAUUCCUAGUGUAGCGGUGAAAUGCGUAGAUAUUAGGAGGAACACCAGUGGCGAAGGCGGCUUGCUGGACGAUGACUGACGUUGAGGCUCGAAAGCGUGGGGAGCAAACAGGAUUAGAUACCCUGGUAGUCCACGCCGUAAACG